CGCGUUGGCCACAGCCUUAUCUUCUGGCCGCGCGCCUUCUUCUUCCGCACAAAUUUUCCAGCUCCCUCUGCGUUUCUCUCUGCUCGCCUCGGCCUCCAACUCCGGCCGUGGUGGCCACCGGAAGCGUGUCUCCCGGCCCCGGCUCAACGGUCUGCGUUCUCCCUGCUCUCCCAAGCUGCGCGCCCCUGUCCUGUUCCCUGCGCGCGCUGUUCCUGCUCGCUUUGGCGUCCGCGCCAUGGGGCCCUGCGCUCGUCGCGACAGACUCCAGUCCUCCUCUACCGAGCAGCUUGCCCAACCUUCUUCUCCCUACACGCCGGAGCUCGCCCAGCCGACCGAAGCUCCAAGCUCCAGCCAUGGCGCGUCCUCGCUCCCUCUUCCCUGCUCGCCGGUUCUCCUUGCCGAGCUCCCCUACGUGCUGAUCUCUGCGCUGCGGCUUUCCUUUCCCCAAGCUCCUCCAGCCACGCAGCCCAGCUGCUUCUUCCUCCUCCCGGCGUUCUUCCUGUGCCGCGCGCCCUGCCCAUCUCCCAGUCCCAGCUUGCCGCACGCGCAACUGCUCCUUCUGCCCAGCCGCCCCGGAUCUUGCUUGGCCAUAGCAAGUUCCUCCCUGUCCUCUGCUCGCGCUGCUCCAGUCGGCCGCGCGUCCAGCUUGCCCUGUCUGCACGCCGCGCUCCCUUGUCGUGGCUUUCUGCUUUCUCGUUGCGCGCAUAGCGUUCCGUUGUUCCUGCACAUGCUGUCGCGAAGCUCCCUGUUCAGUUCGCCUCCAUCACAUUGUCGUGGGCGCGAAACUGCUCGCAGUCGAUAUCAAAUCCAUGACGCGCGUGUUGGACACGAUAAAACGCUGCGUGUGCUGGUGUCCGAACUCGCCCUGGCCAUGGCGCUUGGUAUCGUGGUGUGCUUUUUCUCUGCGCGCGUCCUCUUGUUAGCUGUCGUGACUACCGUCAAAUCAUCGGAGUCGUUCAACUCGCCGAUCACAUCUUGGCCGGUCGUCGAUUUCCUAUUCGUCAUGGUACAACACCGUUAUUAAAUCUGGUCUCCAACCCGCCAUGACGUUCGUCGUCCUCUAGUCCCAGUUCGACCCAUCCGUGCGUUCGCUCUUCGUCCAUCGGGCUUCACGCGUGCUCGCAUUUGUUGUCGAGCUGUUGAACCCGUCUUUCCUUGCUCGUGACUUCGUCAUCGCCAGAGCCCUCACUAAAUUCGUGUCCUCGCGAGCUUGCUCCAGACUUCAAGCGAAGGUUGUCGUCGUUCGUGCAUCCCCAAGAAAUCCCAAGCGUCGAAUGAAGAUGAAGCUAGCAGCGUGGUAUUCCCUAAGUGCUCGACACAAGAGCUGAACCAGAAUCCUUGCCGUGUUCGCGGAUAGCGCGUCAGAUUUAGAAUGGUAAGCCAAUUCAAAAUUUCCAUUAGCUUAAUUAUUGAAGUAGUUCGAUGAAUAUGAUGUGUUUAUUUUCAUGAUUUUGAAGCAGUCGCAUCACGAUAGGAUUAAAUAUAUGUGAAGUACGAUAGAGUUAGUAAUGCGAAAGAUAGAUUAAUUUAAGUAAUAUUCGGGCGAGCUGAUGACGAAAGAAAUAAGCUUAGUAUUCCUAUUAGCUAGUUAAUAGAAUUUUCUAGUGUCGUUAUGUCAAUUUGAUAAAUUGAUAUAGUCGAUGUCCUGCAUAAUUAGUUAGUUUAUUCUAGGUAUGAUAUUCUAUGUAUGUUGGUCGAUUUCAUGAUUUGAAUGAAUGUUGAUUGCUAUUUCGAAUAUUUAGGAUUAAGUAACAUCGAUAUAUCUGUUUUAACCAAAAUCUAGGGUCUGUCUGAUAAGUAAUGCGUAUAAACACUUUAGGUCUUUUAGUGCUAAAGUUGGAAUUGGUAUAUUGUAUAAAAUAUGCUUGGUUAUAGGUUAUAAGUGUUUCAUCCUUUUUAGCGUAGAUUAUCUAUCUUGUACUAUUUAUACUCGUUAUACUCGUGCUCAUACAUGUGCAUCAUGCAUCUCAUGAGGUACGAUAAAUAAUCGCGUGAUGCGGAAGAAGAGCCAAGUCGACCCCAAGCGCGGGCUAAACCGCAUGGUGAUGCGGAUGGACAAACCGGAAGUUGGAUAAUCUGAAUGAGUGUCAAGCCAAAGGAUACUCGCCAAGUGGUCGCCACCUAACAACACUAACCUAGUGUUACUCAGGUUUUAACUUUGUGCUGCUGUUGAUGGUGUUAAAUGCCCGUGGGCUCGACCUUCUUAUAAGUCUAAGUAACUCUCCUAUACUUCUUAUGGAGGAUGGUCACUUGAGCUAGCAUAUAUUUCAAACUUAUACUUUUGCAAUCACUCCGAUAAAAUAAUGUAAAUUUUUUGUAACUUGUAAAAUUUGGUAAUAAGAUUUCCGCUGCAAAAAUAUUGGUGUGUGUGAUUUGUGUUACUUAAUCCCGCGAUCUUGGUUGUAAGUGGUUUAUCCGAUGUCCUUGGGGCAAUCGGACGGAUCCUGUUAAGUUAUUUGGUGCACAUGCAUAGCAGUCUGAGGUCUUUGAGACAAGGACAGGUGCAUGUGGGCCCAAUAACUUGGGAGGUUCUGCCACAGCUGGUAUCGGAGCAGGAUUAAGUAUAUACGGUCACAUACGUAUUUUCAAAACAAAAGUUUUGGUUUCAAAAAACCUAUUUUCAACUAAACACAUUGUUUGGCUUUGAAAAACAGUUUUGAAAAACUAUGAUGCUAACGACAUCCUCUAUUAAGCCCUAAAUUAAGGACUAUUAGGUGGCUUAUUUGAAAACCACUAACCCACAAUCGGGGGUAUUGCAUACAUGUGUAUUGUUAUUUUUAAGGCCAUUCAGUUUUGAAUGGAUCGACGCUCAAGGUAAGGUGAGAUGUGAGAGCAUGACCGAACAACCGUCGGUCUAGGGAAGAGCAUAAAAAGCGCU
rnacentral:misc_RNA from 1 species